CCUACGGGUGGCUGCAGUAAGGAAUAUUGGUCAAUGGACGAAAGUCUGAACCAGCCAUGCCGCGUGAAGGAUGAAGGUCCUCUGGAUUGUAAACUUCUUUUAUCUGGGACGAAAAAAGGGAAUUCUUUCUCACUUGACGGUACCAGAAGAAUAAGCACCGGCUAACUCCGUGCCAGCAGCCGCGGUAAUACGGAGGGUGCAAGCGUUACUGGGAUUAACUGGGGUUAAGGGGUGCGUAUAAGUGCAGUGAGAAAUCUCCGGGCUUAACCCGGAAACUGCCAUUGAUACUAUCUGUCUUGAAUACUCUGGAGGUAAGCGGAAUAUGUCAUGUAGCGGUGAAAUGCUUAGAUAUGACAUAGAACACCGAUUGCGAAGGCAGCUUACUACGGAGUCAUUGACACUGAGGCACGAAAGCGUGGGGAUCAAACAGGAUUAGAUACCCGAGUAGUC
rnacentral:rRNA from 1 species